rnacentral:lncRNA from 1 species
GAGAAGGGAGUGUUUGAGAGGGUGAGAAUGAGAGAAAUAUCUCAUUUACUCCAAUACUAUACUCAAUGGGUUGCCAAAUUGCAGCUAGACCCCUCAACUUUUACUCUUUCACACAGCCUGGACUGGGCUGUUCGCGCAGGCGGGGACCGGUCUCUCCUUCAGGGACCGGUUCCCGAACGUCGUCCCAGCGGAGCCAGAGCUGCUGCGCGCAGUG